rnacentral:miRNA from 14 species
UCUCUCUCUCUCUCUCUGUCUCUCUCUCUCNAGAGACAGAGAGAGAGAGUGAGAGAGAGAGAGA